GGGUUACGGGGUCACGUGUUGGGUUAUGGGGUCCCAUAUGGGGUCCUGUGUGGGGUUAUGGGGUCACACAUUGGGUUAUGGGGUCACGUGUUGGGUCAGGUGUUCCAUUUGGGGUCAGGUGUUCUAUUUGGGUUCCUAUUGGGGGUCAGAGGUUCCAUCUGGGGUCUAUUUGGGGUCCAUUUGGGGUCAGAGGGUCCAUUUGGGAUCCAUUUCAGGUCAGAGGUUCCAUUCGGGAUCCAUUUGGGGUCAGAGGGUCCAUUUGGGGUCAGAGGUUCCAUUUGGGUUCCAUUUGGGGUCAGAGGAUCCAUUUGGGGUCAGAGGAUCCAUUUGGGGUCAGAGGAUCCAUUUGGGGUCAGAGGUUCCAUUUAGGGUCCAUUUGGGGUCGGAGGGUCCAUUUGGGGUCAGAGGUUCCAUUUGGGGUCCAUUUAGGGUCGAAGGGUCCAUUUGGGGUCAGAGGUUCCAUUUGGGGUCCAUUUAGGGUCGGAGGGUCCAUUUGGGGUCAGAGGUUCCAUUUGGGGUCCAUUUAGGGUCGGAGGGUCCAUUUAGGGUCAGAGGAUCCAUUUGGGGUCAGAGGUUCCAUUUGGGGUCCAUUUAGGGUCGGAGGGUCCAUUUGGGGUCAGAGGUUCCAUUUGGG